UACGAAGGGGGCGAGCGUUGUUCGGAUUUACUGGGCGUAAAGGGCGCGCAGGCGGCUAUCCAAGUCAGGCGUGAAAGCCCCGGGCUUAACCUGGGAGGUGCGUCUGGGACUGGGUGGCUAGAGAUCGGGAGAGGAGAGUGGAAUUCCCAGUGUAGAGGUGAAAUUCGUAGAUAUUCGGAAGAACACCAGUGGCGAAGGCGACUUACUGGACACAUAUUGACGCUGAGGUGCGAAAGCGUGGGGAGCAAACAGG
rnacentral:rRNA from 1 species